AAUGAACGUUGGCGGCGUGGAUUAGGCAUGCAAGUCGUACGGACAAGGGGAGCUUGCUCCCUGAGUUAGUGGCGAAAGGGAUAGGACAAUAUAGGUUAUCUGCCCUCGGGACGGGGAUAGCUACGGGAAACUGUAGGUAAUACCCGAUAUUCUCUCCGGAGCAAAGGUGUGAUUCCGCCUGAGGAUGAGCCUAUAGCCUAUUAGCUUGUUGGCGGGGUAACGGCCCACCAAGGCUAAGAUGGGUACCGGGCGUGAGAGCGUGACCCGGAUCACUGGGACUGAGACACUGCCCAGACACCUACGGGUGGCUGCAGUCGAGAAUCUUCGGCAAUGGACGAAAGUCUGACCGAGCGACGCCGCGUGAGCGAUGAAGGCCGUUGUGUUGUAAAGCUCUGUAAGUUGGGAGGAAGUGUACGGGGGCAAUCCCCUGUACUUGACCUAUCUUCAAAGUAAGGACGGGCUAAGUUCGUGCCAGCAGCCGCA
rnacentral:rRNA from 1 species